AGCCGAGAGGGUCGCACGCUCCCUCGUAUUGCUAUCCGGCCGAGGCGCGCGUCCGGUUCGCGAGGGGGUUGUUUGAAGGAGACAACAAAUACAGAAGAGUCAUUUUAAAAUCAAGAAAUAAUCAUUCGAAACGUACGAACGGACGAAACGGUAGUUUUUUAUCUUUGUUAAUGUUUCCAUGUACAAAAAAUGCAUAAAUUUAUGAACAUUUGUAUGAACUCGAAGUGUCUUGCACCGCGGUUGGUCUACUGCGUGCUCGCCGAGAAAGCGAAAGCUCGGAGCGCGGUUGAUACGAAGGUGAUGACGAGAGGAAGGGUGUUUUGAAAAAAGGGGGUUUUUUUAUCCCGCGUCGCACUUAACCCGGAUAGUUUGGAAGCUGCACCGCGAGAGCGGGGCGGAGCAUCAUCUUCGCCCUCGCAUUUUCAUCGACGUUGGAAAAAUUUCCUCGAUCAUCAAGCGCGCGCGGGGAGGAUCGGGGGCGUGUGGGCGGAGGAAAAAUAGAGAAGGAUCUUAAGAGGGUCUCACCGGUGGCGGGGAAUCCUCGGCGAGAUGAACCCUCGGGGGAUAAAAAUUCACGAGUAGAGAAAGAUAGAGAAAGAGAGGAAGCCGGAAGAAAGGAGGAACGAGUAUAGGAAGAAACGUCAUGGGAAUUUGGCAUGUUAUCGCACGUGCUGAUCGCUAGACUUCCGAUGGUCACUUGAAUUCGUGCGAGAAAUGCUUCUGGCAAACUCCGAUAUAAAUCGGCGCAGCUGUUGCACGGUCAAGUACGCCACGAAGCGGCGAUUCUCUGAGCUCGAAGAACGCGGUGAAAAAUCUCUCGACGUCAGGACCACUUUUUGUCACGCUCGUACAACAUUUUGGCGAAAUUGCUCAAACGAAAAUUCGACAACAUCGACAAACUGGGCAACCAGAAAGGGGAGCUAAAAGGGCGUUGAAGCACAGCCAGCGUUGAGAUAAAAGAGCCUCGUGACGGAGGGGCUUCGUACGGCCCUGGCGCGGCUGCGGCACUGCACCCCACCCGGGGGCUCCCUGCCAAACACCCCGAAUCCACCCUCCACCCCCGAGCACAAGGCCCACGGGCUGCAACGUUUGCUUGUGUCUCGUAAAAAAAUAGUACCGAAGACAGGAAAAAGCUCGAGGCUCGCGCCGGGGCACACCUGUGCAGAAGCCAAUAACAAUAUUGUUUCUAACCUCACCAGCGGACAUUCCCGAAAGAAUGCACCGAAGAAACAAAAAUACCAAUAUGC